rnacentral:tRNA from 1 species
ACCUGGGUGGCCCAGUGGGUUGAGCAUCUGACUUCGGCUCAGGUCAUGAUCUCCUGGUUCGUGAGUUCAAGCCCCACACCGGGCU